rnacentral:rRNA from 1 species
UACGUAGGGUGCAAGCGUUGUCCGGAAUUAUUGGGCGUAAAGAGCUCGUAGGCGGUUUGUUGCGUCGGCUGUGAAAUCCCGAGGCUCAACCUCGGGUCUGCAGUCGAUACGAGCAAACUAGAGUGUUGCAGGGGAGACUGGAAUUCCUGGUGUAGCGGUGAAAUGACGCAGAUAUCAGGAGGAACACCCGUGGCGAAGGCGGCUCUCUGGUACGUGACUGACGCUGAGACGCGAAAGCGUGGGGAGCAAACAGG